rnacentral:lncRNA from 1 species
GGAUAAAAAGAAGAAGAAAAAAACAAGCUUAAUAGAAGCUAAUUAUUCUCUAAGGAAGAAAAAGUUCCAUUAGCGUCGUUUUUAAGAAGAUUUAGCAGUCCAUUUGGGGAGAAGCGUGAAUAAGGAGAUCAAAAUCCAAAGAAGCUCCAAGCUUUGCCAAAAAAUCAGCAUAUUGAUUCCCUUCUCUGAGAGUAUCACAAACAAUGACAUUACUUUGAUGAAGAAGCUCUUUUAUGUCUUGUAUAAGAACAACAUAGACAUGAUACUUCUAUAGGCAGCCGUUGAUGAGCUUGAUGCAAACAAGAGAAUCCGAGUAGCAAACUAACUCCACAAAACCCAAAUUUUGAGCUAUGAUCAACCCAUGAUAAAUAGUUGAAAGUUCAGCAAGCAUAUAUCAUCUGAAACAAGGAUGAAACCAGAAAAGGCAGUUAAGAAAAAGUCAUAAUUGUUUCUCAGAAUUCCUCCGAACCAGGAUCUGAUGGGACAACCGUAAUAACUACCAUCCACGUUAAGAAUAACACAAGUGUGGUUAUUAUUAUUCCAUUUAACCAAACGAUCAGCUGGUGCAGCAAUAACAAGAGUCAAAAAACUAGAUUUAAUUGCCUCAACCAAAUUAUAUAUGUUUGCAGCAAGGUGAUGCCAAGGCCAAAUGUUGUUACUGAAACACAUAGAAUUUUUAUGACGCCAAGACCACUAAACUCCAAUUGAGAAAGUAAAGGAUCUAGGACCCAUGGACUCCUCUUUUGAGCUAAUCGUGUGAGUUAGUAAUAGAGAAAAACUCAAAACUAACGAAACUAAGGUGAUGCUGAAUAGUCUUAGAAAAGUUGUAGUUCCUAAUACAAUGAAGAAAAGUUUCGUUUUGGAGGCAACAACAGCUACAAACGGCAGAGGGUGCCAUGUUUCUAUGAUUAACAAAGGAUAAAGUACGUACUGCAUUAUGGCAGGCCAACCAAAAGAGAAACUUAUACUUUUUCGGGAGUUUUAACUUUCAAAUCCAAGACCAAGACUGUAAAUUCAGACUAGAGCUAUAACCG